UACGUAGGGGGGCGAGCGUUGUCCGGAAUUAUUGGGCGUAAAGAGCUCGUAGGCGGUGUGUCACGUCGGCCGUGAAAACCUGCAGCUUAACUGUGGGCGUGCGGUCGAUACGGGCAUCACUGGAGUUCGGCAGGGGAGACUGGAAUUCCUGGUGUAGCGGUGAAAUGCGCAGAUAUCAGGAGGAACACCGGUGGCGGAAGGCG
rnacentral:rRNA from 1 species